CUUUUUGUCCCAUAAAAAGUCGUAUCUGCUCACUGGUUUUYUAAAGAGCUGCAGUACCCUAACUGUGCAAAGGUAGCAUAAUAAUUUGUCUUUUAAUUAGGGGCUUGAAUGAAAGAUUUGACAUAAAAUAACUGUCUUAAUUUUUACUAAAAAAUUCAUUUUUAGUGAAAACUCUAAAAUAAAAAUAGAAGACGAUAAGACCCUUUAAAAUUUUUCUUAGUUUUAAAUUGGACUAGUCAAACCCGAAAUUAAAGAUUAAUUGGGGAGAUUUUUAUAAACUUAUAAAAACUGUAAAGGAAAAAAACACUUAUAUGUGAA
rnacentral:rRNA from 1 species